UACGUAGGGUGCAAGCGUUAAUCGGAAUUACUGGGCGUAAAGCGUGCGCAGGCGGUUUUGUAAGUCAGAUGUGAAAUCCCCGGGCUUAACCUGGGAACUGCGUUUGAAACUACAAGGCUAGAGUGUAGCAGAGGGGGGUGGAAUUCCACGUGUAGCAGUGAAAUGCGUAGAGAUGUGGAGGAACACCGAUGGCGAAGGCAGCCCCCUGGGUUAACACUGACGCUCAGGCACGCAAGCGUGGGGAGCACACAGGCGGAGAAAACACAGUAGUCC
rnacentral:rRNA from 1 species